GUAUAUAAUGGGAAGAUUUGAUGGGUGGUGUGUCUGUGUUUGGGUGAGAGUGAGUGGAUUCGAUAAGAUCAUUUGCAAGAUGUAUUGCCGUGCUUUCCUGCUGCUGCUGCUGGUGGGGCUCUGUGUUGCUGGUGACACGUGCCCGGAGAGUGAUCAGAUUCGCUGCAAGGACAGGAACAGGUGCACCAGGAUUCGCUACGUCUGUGACGGGGACAAUGACUGUGGCGACGGCUCUGAUGAGGACUCCUUGCUCUGUAACGUGAGUGUGGCUGUGUGCUGCUCUCUCUCUCU